UAGGGAAUAUUGCGCAAUGGGCGAAAGCCUGACGCAGCGACGCCGCGUGAGGGAUGACGGCCUUCGGGUUGUAAACCUCUUUCAGCAGGGACGAAGCGCAAGUGACGGUACCUGCAGAAGAAGCGCCGGCUAACUACGUGCCAGCAGCCGCGGUAAGACGUAGGGCGCGAGCGUUGUCCGGAUUUAUUGGGCGUAAAGGGCUCGUAGGCGGCCUGUCACGUCGAUCGUGAAAACUGGGGGCUUAACUUCCAGCUUGCGGUCGAUACGGGCAGGCUUGAGGUAGGUAGGGGAGAUCGGAAUUCCACGUGUAGCGGUGAAAUGCGCAGAUAUGUGGAGGAACACCGGUGGCGAAGGCGGAUCUCUGGGCCUAUCCUGACGCUGAUGAGCGAAAGCGUGGGGAGCGAACAGG
rnacentral:rRNA from 1 species